AUUGAACGCUGGCGGCAGGCCUAACACAUGCAAGUCGAGCGGAUGAAGGGAGCUUGCUCCUGGAUUCAGCGGCGGACGGGUGAGUAAUGCCUAGGAAUCUGCCUGGUAGUGGGGGAUAACGUCCGGAAACGGGCGCUAAUACCGCAUACGUCCUGAGGGAGAAAGUGGGGGAUCUUCGGACCUCACGCUAUCAGAUGAGCCUAGGUCGGGUUAGCUAGUUGGUGGGGUAAAGGCCUACCAAGGCGACGAUUCGUAACUGGGUUGAGAGGAUGGACCGUCCAACUGGAACUGGGAAACGGUCCAGACUCCUUAGGGAGGCAGCCGUGGGGAAUAUUGGAACAUGGGCGGAAGCCUGAUCCAGCCAUGCCGGGUGGGUGAAGAAGGUCUUCGGAUUGUAAAGCACUUUAAGUUUGGAGGAAGGGCAGGAAGUUUAUACCUUGCUUUUUUGACGGUACCAAAAAAAUAAGAAACGGCUAACUUCGUG
rnacentral:rRNA from 1 species